AAGCCUUGCUAAUCUUCAUGUAGAUACUGGCAUGGGUCCUCAAAUUAACAUGUUGGGCUUGCCGGCAGAAAGGAGCCCACUUUCUAGUAAUUUGACUGAAGUUGACAUUCUUGAAAUGACAUAUGACGAGUAUCUUGAAGCUUGUAGCAGAGGCAGCAAACGAUCGCCCCACCCUGUUUCAGGACCAUCACGGAGUACACAGAGGUCAUUAGCCAGUGAAGUCAACUGUGAUGAUUCGCAAUCAGGUUGCAGUUCGAAGAAAAGGAGAAGUCACUAAAUCUACCUAUUGGUUGCAUUGGUUUUCUUGGCGAGCAGGCUGAUAUGGUUGAUAAUUGUAUUGUUGCAUUUGUCGCGAAGUGGUGGCUCUUGCGAAGUUGUUUCUUUAUAUAUGUAAAACUUAAAACUUAGGAGCAUAUAUUGCUAUAAUGUUGGAGUAUAUCUGUACUGUAUUUAUAUGACCCUCUUAUCACCCUUCUCCCCUUCCUGUUUUCGAAUGGAAAAUUCUAUACUGUCAAUGGAAA
rnacentral:misc_RNA from 1 species